rnacentral:rRNA from 1 species
AUAUCAGUCAUGCAUAGCAUAUCAAUAAGCGGAGGAAAAGAAACUAACAAGGAUUCCCUUAGUAACGGCGAGUGAAGCGGGAAGAGCUCAAAUUUGAAAUCUUCAAGGUUUUACCUUGACGAAUUGUAGUUUAAAGAAGUGUUUUCUGUUGAAGUUUUGGUAAAAGUUCUUUGGAAUAGGACAUCAUAGAGGGUGAGAAUCCCGUAUUUGACCAUUACUUUCAGCUUUGUGAUACACUUUCAAAGAGUCGGAUUGUUUGGGAAUGCAGUCCAAAAGUGGGUGGUAAAUUUCAUCUAAAGCUGAAUAUUGGCGAGAGAACCGAUAGCGAACAAGUACCGUGAGGGAAAGAUGAAAAGAACUUUGAAAAGAGAGUUAAACAGUACGUGAAAUUGUCAAAAGGGAAGCGUUUGACACCAGUGUUGUUUUCUCGAAAAUCAAUUAAAAAGAGUUGGAUUUUGUGUUGUAUUGACUUUAUCAGCUUUCUUCACUCUUUUCCAGCUUUUUUUAAUGCACUUUUCGUUUAACAAGUCAACAUCAGUUUCUUUUGUUGUAAAAAGGUCAUUGGAAGGUGGCUUUCUCUUCGGAGAAAGUGUUUAUAGCCUUUGACUCAUGCAAUCGGAGAGGCUGAGGUCUGCAGCGUAGAUCCUUCGGGGUUAGAUACAUUUGUGCUAAGUUAUAGCUUUUCAUAGACAACUUGUUGACUAUGUUUAGUCUUGUAGCUUACUCGCUUAUGCUAUUUUACCUACGCUUAGGAUGUUGAACUCUAUCACACACAG